rnacentral:rRNA from 1 species
AACAGAUUUUGCUUCCAGGCGCACAAAGGCCACCGAUCGGAUCAACGUGAAGAAACCCGUUCGGACCGCUGCCGCAUGCCUCGCCUCAGCAACGGAUCAACCUCUGCACCUACAUCCACUUCGACAGGUCGUCAGUCAAAGCAGGUCUAUUUUACCCUCCUUCAUGCGGAUGAAUCUGAUCAAGUUUAUUUCAAAUUCCAAUCUAGAGUAGUCACACUUUUUCGCCUCUGCCUGCCUGCUUCUAGUAGGGUUGCAUUUCUCCAAUUUUCACAGCUUCAAGUCAAUACCUAUGAAUUGUGUAUGUGAUUCAUCAUUGUUCAAUUAUCCCGUACGCUAUGUGAAUUAUAUUCUAAAGUACAGGUUGACAACAACCUACUAGAUGUACAUACUUUUCUAGCUGGUACACAGUAAAAAGAAAGGGCUUGAGUAAAUGCACAUUGUUCAUUUCAUAUCUAUCAGAAGUUCCUGCAUUUAUUUUCCAAUAGCCAUAAUCAAUGUCAGCCACACACUUUGAAGGUUUUACACUUUUAUUUGGUAUCCUACUGCGCUGCAUGAUAACAUCCACAUUUACACGUAGUUUAGGCCCAGUAAAGCAUUCCCCCCUGGUUUCUUCAGCUUGCAAGAAAAGUUAUGGAUUCCGAGUUGACAUUCUAUUUAUUAAAAAGGUGCCUACAUGAAAAAAAAUCAUUGAAAAGCCAAGUGAGACACAAUAACUGUCCACCCAAAUCAUUGUGCUGGCUCAAAGCCCUCUGCGACACAGAGGCUGGCGGGCUCUUGCUCUGCACCCGCCAAUCCGGCGAUGGUGCUAUAUGUGAAUUUGCCCGAAUUGUGAAACUAUUGCAUGUGCACUAUAUGUAUGAUGGAAGGUUUCACUUGAGAAGUGUCCAAACUGAGGUAUUAGAUAACUGCCAUACUUAAUGGAAGAGACAUUCUCCCUAACCUGCAACUGCACCAGUUAUAUAGAUGCACAUAUAACUGAUUUGUUGCUAUCUGAGACCAUUAUUUUAAUUGUGAAUCUUAUUUUUCUUUACCUCUAGGCAAUGAACCAUCUUACCCUUAAAUCAGAAUUCAUGUUUUUUUCGCUCCUAUUUUGUUCCUUACCAGUGACAGUGCAGAUUCCUAAAUGCAUAAAGCUCCCGGGAAGGUAAAACUGUGGUGUUUCAUUAAAUUGAAAUUUGUCAUUUAUAUUUGACUGCUUCAUUCUUCUCUAAAACCACAGGUAUAUCCAUACAGUGAACUGGAUUAUGCAUUAAUCGGUUGAUUCAGAGCUCUUGUAUCUUGAGUGGCAUUCACCUUUGGGCAAUUCAAGCGACCGCAGGUCAUGGUCUUCUUAUUGAUGUCUCACUGUUGAAAAGAGUUCUUAUGUGGGUUCUGUUUUAUUGUCUUUAUGCUUGUGAAGUACACGGUGGGGGCGCGCAUGGUUGAUGAUUAUGUUCUGGGUUGGCCAUUGAGAGGGAGGCCGAAGCAAACUCCAUCAGGUUUCAGGUGCACGCCCUCUGUCCCUGUUUUAGUCUCUGUAGCUAAACUUGAGAAUUGUACACUGGUAUACACAGUUAGUUGCUGAGUUUACAUGCAGUUAUGGAAGUUAGAGCACAUACAUGCUUGAUUUUACUUCCUUUAAUACAGGGCAUUCUAUAAUUACUAAGAACUGAUUUGUUGAAUUGUGGCUCCCUAUUUUGUCCGGAUAGCUACUUCAGGUUAGGCGGGAGAAAUAAAAAGGGUGACCAUAGAUAUAUGGUCUAGCAUCACAAGGUUCAGGUAACUGCUAUUGAUCGACCGUUGCUUCGGUCGAGGUGGAUUAUGCUUGAUUAUGUUCUUUGUAUUUUUUUCAUGGCCUACACUGGUGUUAUCAUCUAUUCUGUUUCAAAAAUUUCAAUGGCUUAGUUUCAUGUCCCGGUACCACUUGAAGUACAACUAAGUACCUUCUGACAUGACAAUAAUGUAUGUAUUUACCUAUGGUUAUUGUUUCCUAUAAGAAACAUGAUCAUCUCACCUUGGUUUCCCCUGUAUCUGACUUGGGACAGUUUUAUGUGAGAUUUGUUUUGCAUUUUCUGUGUGUGUGGAUGCUUAAGCUUAAGCUUUUGUUAUUUGGUUCAGUUAGAGAUUAAAGAAGACUGAAAUUAUGGUCUCGCAGCGAGGAUUGCUGUGCCCAACCUGCACAAGAAUGUAGUCCUUCUCCUAGACGUAAG